UACGAAGGGUGCAAACGUUGCUCGGAAUUAUUGGGCGUAAAGCGCACGUAGGCGGCUUCGCAAGUCCCAUGUGAAAGCCCACGGCUUAACCGUGGAAGUGCAUGGGAAACUGCAGAGCUUGAGUACUUAAGAGGAUCGCGGAAUUCCCGGUGUAGAGGUGAAAUUCGUAGAUAUCGAGAGGAACACCGUGCGGCGAAGGCGGGUUGCUGGGCCGACACUGA
rnacentral:rRNA from 1 species